rnacentral:misc_RNA from 1 species
AAAGAUCGCAGCCUGCGGCAGUUUCUGCAGGGAACCAUAAAGUCCUGUGCAGGAGCUGCCGAAGGCUGCGAUCUUU